rnacentral:rRNA from 1 species
UCGGCCUACGGGGGGCAGCAGUGAGGAAUAUUGGUCAAUGGACGAGAGUCUGAACCAGCCAAGUAGCGUGAAGGAUGACUGCCCUAUGGGUUGUAAACUUCUUUUAUAUGGGAAUAAAAUGUUCCACGUGUGGGAUUUUGUAUGUACCAUAUGAAUAAGGAUCGGCUAACUCCGUGCCAGCAGCCGCGGUAAUACGGAGGAUCCGAGCGUUAUCCGGAUUUAUUGGGUUUAAAGGGAGCGUAGGUGGAUUGUUAAGUCAGCGGUAAAAUUUCGGGGCUCAACCCCGUCGUGCCGUUGAAACUGGC